rnacentral:rRNA from 1 species
AUGUGGUUUAAUUCGAAGCAACGCGAAGAACCUUACCAGGCCUUGACAUGCAGAGAACUUUCCAGAGAUGGAUUGGUGCCUUCGGGAACUCUGACACAGGUGCUGCAUGGCUGUCGUCAGCUUGUGUCGUGAGAUGUUGGGUUAAGUCCCGUAACGAGCGCAACCCUUGUCCUUAGUUACCAGCACGUUAUGGUGGGCACUCUAAGGAGACUGCCGGUGACAAACCGGAGGAAGGUGGGGAUGACGUCAAGUCAUCAUGGCCCUUACGGCCUGGGCUACACACGUGCUGCAAUGGUCGGUACAAAGGGUUGCCAAGCCGCGAGGUGGAGCUAAUCCCAUAAAACCGAUCGUAGUCCGGAUCGCAGUCUGCAACUCGACUGCGUGAAGUCGGAAUCGCUAGUAAUCGUGAAUCAGAAUGUCACGGUGAAUACGUUCCCGGGCCUU